AACGAACGCUGGCGGCAGGCCUAACACAUGCAAGUCGAACGCCGUAGCAAUACGGAGUGGCAGACGGGUGAGUAACGCGUGGGAACAUACCCUUCGGUUCGGAAUAACUCAGGGAAACUUGUGCUAAUACCGGAUACGUCCGAGGUUUUGAUCGACCUUGGAGGAAGAUUUAUCGCCGAAGGAUUGGCCCGCGUCUGAUUAGCUUGUUGGUGAGGUAAUGGCUCACCAAGGCGACGAUCAGUAGCUGGUCUGAGAGGAUGAUCAGCCACAUUGGGACUGAGACACGGCCCAAACUCCUACGGGAGGCAGCAGUGGGGAAUAUUGGACAAUGGGCGAAAGCCUGAUCCAGCCAUGCCGCGUGAGUGAUGAAGGCCU
rnacentral:rRNA from 1 species